rnacentral:rRNA from 1 species
CGGGUGGGUAACGCGUGAGGAACCUGCCUCAAAGAGGGGGACAACAGUUGGAAACGACUGCUAAUACCGCAUAAGCCCACAGCUCGGCAUCGAGCAGAGGGAAAAGGAGUGAUCCGCUUUGAGAUGGCCUCGCGUCCGAUUAGCUAGUUGGUGAGGUAAUGGCCCACCAAGGCGACGAUCGGUAGCCGGACUGAGAGGUUGAACGGCCACAUUGGGACUGAGACACGGCCCAA